rnacentral:rRNA from 1 species
AUUGAACGCUGGCGGCAGGCUUAACACAUGCAAGUCGAGCGGUAGCACAGGGGAGCUUGCUCCCUGGGUGACGAGCGGCGGACGGGUGAGUAAUGUCUGGGAAACUGCCUGAUGGAGGGGGAUAACUACUGGAAACGGUAGCUAAUACCGCAUAACGUCGCAAGCCCAAAGAGGGGGACAUUCGGGCCUCUUGCCAUCAGAUGUGCCCAGAUGGGAUUAGCUAGUAGGUGGGGUAAUGGCUCACCUAGGCGACGAUCCCUAGCUGGUCUGAGAGGAUGACCAGCCACACUGGAACUGAGACACGGUCCAGACUCCUACGGGAGGCAGCAGUGGGGAAUAUUGCACAAUGGGCGCAAGCCUGAUGCAGCCAUGCCGCGUGUGUGAAGAAGGCCUUCGGGUUGUAAAGCACUUUCAGCGAGGAGGAAGGUGGUGAGCUUAAUACGUUCAUCAAUUGACGGUACUCGCAGAAGAAGCACCGGCUAACUCCGUG